rnacentral:rRNA from 1 species
UACAGAGGUCUCAAGCGUUGUUCGGAUUCAUUGGGCGUAAAGGGUGCGUAGGCGGCGCGGUAAGUCGGGUGUGAAAUCUCGGAGCUUAACUCCGAAACUGCAUUCGAUACUGCCGUGCUUGAGGACUGGAGAGGAGACUGGAAUUCCUGGUGUAGCGGUGAAAUGCGCAGAUAUCAGGAGGAACACCGGUGGCGAAGGCGGGUCUCUGGGCAAGAACUGACGCUGAGGAGCGAAAGCGUGGGGAGCGAACAGG